CCAAUCUGUCCAAGCAAAUAAUAAUAAUAAAAAAUAUUGCAAUUGAGACCUCCCCAAAGCAAACUUGCAAAAAAAAUAACAGAUGUAUAAAUCACUGUAGCAUAUUACACUUGAAACAUAAAAGACAGUUUAUAAUAUCACUCUCCCUGUAAAAAACCACAAGUUUUAAUUCUGCUGGAUGCUGGAUACUAUCCCUGCUGUCUAAAAGUGCACUCACAACAAUGUCCAGCGCAGCAUUUUGGAACUAAAUUCAGGCUUGCAAUUGAGUUUAUUUUCGCAUGUCAUUCAUGCUAUGAGAGAAAAAAAUCCACAGCUGAAGGGCCAGUAAGGAGACUUUUCAAACAUACCACAAAACCCUUGAGUUUUGUGCUCUUCCUUAGCAGAGACAUACCCUACACCAUGCUUUACAGCACUGUGAAGACAGAUGAAAUGGGGUUACAGGAUCCUUCCCAGUGAAAUGCCAUAUCAAACUGUAAUUAAACCUUAAGCAUACUCACCAUUCAGUACUUAAAACUUCCUUAUCACUGAAGAAUCUGUAAAGAGUAAAAUGAAAGGACAUAUAAAGGAAAAAUAUACAAGGGAUUAGAUCCACAAUUGACUUCAUAGUCAUUGUGAGGGGUACCUAAAUUCUAGACUUAGACCAUAAAAAUCCUCAUUCAUUUGCUCCCAAUUCAUAGGAGACAAUUUCCAAAGUAAUUUUCCCUAAUCUGAAGAUGCACUUCUGCAAAUGCCUAUAAUAGAUGCAGCAUAUGCCUAAACUCCCAUCAAGAUAUGUGAACUGAUUACUUCUCUAUUUUACCUGUGAAGUAAAAUUCAUUAGGUAUUCAGAAUGUUCUGACAGCUUUAUGCCCAAAAGCCAUGGAAAAUAUUCCCUCCCUUCUGUUUAAGUUAUUAUACUUUGUAUGAAAUAAGUAAAUAAAAUUCAGGUCAGAAAUUGAGAACCUAAUAUGCUAAACUGUUGUUGUUGAUUUUAAAAUGGAAUACCGAGAUUCUGGUACUAUUUAUUUGAUUAUCAUGUUCUUGUAGUAAGCCAGCAGAUGUUAGAGAAGGGACUGAAUUGUCCUGGAUGGUAUCACCUGCUUUAAGGUGGUAGUUCUGGAGAUUUGACAAGUAUGAGAAUAAAUUCAUUUAAUCUAGUUAAUGUGACUGUCUCCCAUUUCUCACUUCUGUUGUGCCUCUUUUAGGUGGGAUAUGACAUGCUUUGCUCUCUUUGACUAAGAAAGUCUUACUGUUGGACUAAAGUCAGGGCAAGUUCCAAUUUAAUAUCAGUAGUAUAACACAUAUUCUUCUUUGACUGAUUGUGAUAACCUCUCUCUUGAGUCCUGCUGGUCACUGGCAGUAAAACUGCCACAAGCCAGUGCAGAACUCAGUGGUACAGCUGCCAUUAUAUGGGCAUUUUGGCCAAUUUGCGUGAUGAACAUCUGUCUACCACUAAUGUUACAAAAGAUGCUUUCUUGAAAUUACUUUCUUAAGGAUUUAUACAUGCUUAUGCAAACCAAGAGCACAUAUUAUUGUAGAGCUUGGUGUGAAAGAAUGAAACACUCAUAUUAAUAGUGCUUAUCAGCAGUACUGUGUCAUUGACACCCUACAUUCUGGUGGGAUGUUUUGAGGUGAUGAAUGUUUAACUUGUUUCUCCAAAUGUGAGAAAAAGGUUAAAAAUCUAUCACAGUUCUCAUGACACAUUUUGAAUACUAAAGAAAAUAUAGGAUUCUGAGGGAAGGGGAAAGGUUUGGAGUUACUAAAGCUAGUAAUUCUCUUAGUGGGCUUCAAAAACACUUAACUUGAAUUUAUGUAAGGUAUGAGAGAUGUACACAUCGACCAUGAAUCAAUUUUACGCCUUAUUUGGAUUGUUUCUGAUUAAGCUGUCUGCUAAAUGAGAAAACUUUUAAUUUGAUAUUUUGUUGCAAUAAAAAGGCAUGAUUGCAGCAAUCAGAUAAUGUUCUGCUUGCCUACCUCGAAGACCCAAAUGUGAGCUGAUACUUAAAACUCACAUAUCAAAAUUUAUCUUAGCAGAAACAAAAAAAAAAUAAAAUUUAAUUUCCUUUUAAAGACAAAAGAGUUCUGGAAUUGAUGAGAGCUGAUCCAUUCUAUCUGUAAAGCUUUGAAAGUAUGUUCUUUCCAUUUUGAGAAUGUUAAUUUGCGCUUAUUACUUGGAUUUCAUACAUUAUAUUUUGUCUUUACACCAAAGAAAACAAUCAUUUACCUGAACUGUCAUCGACUGAGUAGAAAACAUCUUCAUAAGCAGAGAAAGUUGCUCAGCUGGAUCCUUUCAUCUACUGAGAUGCACUGUGUAUGAGAAAAGCAAAAUACCCUUACUGCACUUAAAAAAUUGUACCGCACUAGCUAAUUUCUUUCUUUAGUUAGAAUUCUGAUGCAUUCUGUUUUACUUCCAGAUUACACCAAGUAGUAUGCAUUUCUAACAGACACCUAUUUUCCCUCUCAUCCCAAAAUAUAGAAAAAACAAUGUUAAACGUAUCCUCUAGAGAUGCUUAACUACAAAUUCAACAGAGAACACUGCAAGGUUUUCAUAUAACUCCAUAAAAUCAUUGUUCCAGUGCUAUUUAUAUAUUUCAUACAUUUUCAGCAGACAAAAAAAUAUAUUCACUGACAGAUGCAUUGAAAAAUAAAAACAAUAGAAAUGGCUUUCUCUUGCAUAAGUCUUUUCAGACCAGCAUUAGGCUGUUUUCUAAACAGUUCACAAACAGACUGAUUCCCCCAACAAGGUGCAAACAAGACAUAGUCUCUGUUUCCCUGCACUGCAAACUUGGGUGAUAAUUAAAAAUGCUUGAAGUUCUGCCCAACCAGGUACUAAGGUCUGGUAUCAAGCACUAGUGAGAUAGGCAGUCUUACAGUAUCAUACAUAAUAUACAGUUUAUAUGUAGUCUUAUCCCCUACAAUAUUAACAAUACAGCAUCUGGCCAACUUUUUGAUCUAUUUCUGUCCUUUUCCAGCAGCUGCUGUUUCUGGGAGGAACGCCAGUAUCUUCACAAGAGCAGAAGAACGGUGUCCUUUCUGGCUAUUAGGUUCAUGCAUCCUUCUACGUGGAAUCUCAUAACCCCACAUCUAUACACAUCCUGCUAAGAAGCAAAGUUCUUCCUUUUUUACAAAGCUCUACAGAUAGUUUACCUUUAAUGCCUAACUCAAAUGCCUGAGUAGUUUCCUACACAGUCUCAAAUGACUACAAGACAGUACCCACAUCCAACAAAAUCUGUAUCAUGGUCCAGAAAGGAGGAAUUGUUGUCUUUGAAAGACAAGAGAGACAGUGAGAAAAAUAAUGCAUAACAAUCCUGGAUCAGUAGUAAAACCAUCUGUUCCCAUUCCCCCAAGAGUGCUGGAAUUGUAGCUAGGCACCAAGCAUACCUCGACACUUGCGGGCUGUCAGGUAUAAAUGCAAGGUCUACAGAAGAGCAGUAUUCACUUGGACAUCUAAGAUGCAAAUGGACCUCUCUCUCUCUAUAAGCACUUGGAUUGAAUACUGAACUUCUACUUCCUCAGUUAAUCAUUUUUAUUACUUGAAUUACUUUUCUUGUUUCUGUCUGAGAUGUUUAAUUUUCGAAUUACAUUAUUUAGUGAAUUUAGAUAUUACUAAAAUUUUUCUAUGUUCUUAUCUUAAGUGGGUUCACUGCAUAGUUUUAAUAUCGUUUUAUCUCCAUAGUACUUGCUAAGUUUUCAAAUAGUUGAGUAGUCUAAGUAACCACAUUCUUCUUUUUAUGCAUAUACAAAGACACCUCGUGAGAAAAACUUACUCUAAGACUAUUAUGUUAUAAAACUUUCAUAUUAACAACCUUCCCUGCAACUGACUCCAAUCUCACAAAUGAAAACAUUUUGAAUAAAUUCCGUCAUUGUCUGUGUCUCCUGUUACACCUGAGAAGGCAUUUGAUCUCCUGCAGUAUGUAGCACUCGCUAUUGUUCUAAAAAUUGCCUCUAUUGGCUCUUCUGUGUGAACGGUUUCUAAAAAUUAUGAUGGUUGAAUUUGUGGUCAAGUCAGUCAUUCUAAGAAAGCUCAUAAAAUCCCGAGAGACUUGCAAAGAACAAUCAAUCCCUACGUCAGGAAGCAAAAAGGAAGUGCCAACCCAGUGGAAAUUUAUUUAUGACAUGUUUGAAGUCUAUUGAAAUAACAAAACACUGGACUUAGCAGUCAUACAGGGCAUAUACAAAGGCAAUGGAAUUAAAUCUUAUUUUCAACAAGGGAAUGGUAUUCAAGUAACUAUUAAAAAUUGAUUUUUUUUUUUUAAAGUCACUCCCAUAAAAGUUAAAAGAAAAAGGUAAAUGUGUUCAUAUAAAUUACAUUAGGCAUCAGUGAGAAACUUUCCUUCAACUACAUCCUUGCAGGAAAUUGGCUAAAUGUAGCCCCUUGGCGCCAAAGAGGUCAUGAGCUCUGCGUCAGUGCUAAUUCAUUUUUUCUGACCACAUUGUGUUGGGAAAUCCUGAUUCCCAGUGCUGAAGUGCUGAAGUGUAAAACAAGACUUUGAACUCUAUGGGAUUAUGCAUGUGAUACACCAAACAUUAAUGAAAUCCAUUUCCUUAAACCUGUAAGGAGUGUAUUUACACAGAAAAUGUUCAAAUAUCAUUAAUUAUUUUCUUUUGCAGAAGUUUCACACAAUUUUCCCUUCUGAAUUAAAAAUUGCAUUUGGAAUGAAAAUAACUAAUAUAAACAAUUUUCUCUUUCA